AGAUGGCGACCGGCGCACGGGUGAGUAACACGUAUCCAACCUGCCGAUAACUCGGGGAUAGCCUUUCGAAAGAAAGAUUAAUACCCGAUGGUAUAAUCAGACCGCAUGGUUUGAUUAUUAAAGAAUUUCGGUUAUCGAUGGGGAUGCGUUCCAUUAGGCAGUUGGUGAGGUAACGGCCACCAAAACUACGAUGGAUAGGGGUUCUGAGAGGAAGGUCCCCCACAUUGGAACUGAGACACGGUCCAA
rnacentral:rRNA from 1 species